UCCCCUGUAGCUCAACGGCAGAGCAUCUGACUGUUAAUCAGAGGGUUCCUGGUUCGAAUCCAGGCGGGGGAG
rnacentral:tRNA from 1 species